rnacentral:lncRNA from 1 species
CUUGGCUAGCAGGGUGCUGAUACAACAGCACCCUGUCAAAUUGGUAUCAACACCCUGUCAAAUUUCUGUGAGAUAAGCCUGUAUUUGAGGCUUUUUUCUUCAUGGUAUUAGAGAUAGUCGAGUACUAUAAUCCUCACCUCGCGAAACAAGACAUAACGACCUAUUAACAAUGCCUAAUUACCAAUAGAUCUGUCAUGGAAAUACAAAAUGGGAUAUAAAAAAUAUUUUUUGAAGGAUAAGUAAAGAUCUCAAAAGCACCAAAAGAAAUUCUGUCACCAACAUUUCUAACAUUAACAUCUUCAAGAUUCCCACGCACAAAUAUGGAAAGAUUCUCAUUGCUAAUUGGUAAAAAUAAACAAAAAAAAUCAGGAAAAAAAAAAUUAAUCACAAAAAAUGUUAUACUUUUCCUCGAGCAAACAAAAAGACACGCAAAUAUAUAUCAAAGGUUCUUACACUGCCCUAGCCAGAACCAAAAAGAUCCUUUUUUCUUGGAGAAUAAUAGAUAAGAUUAAAAAUAUAAAUGACAAUUAAUUAACCCUAAUCCCAAUAAACAAGAAUAAAUAUAGCCACGAAUAGUUAUAAUUAUUGAACGCGAGAUGCAAGAAAAAUUUCCCGUGAUCCCAUCAACGGGUGAAGCUACCACAUGAUCUGAUCUUCUUACGACGAGGUAGAAAGUUGAGAUCAUGCUGGCAGCUUCAACUGGUAAUGGUGCACGAUCGCUCAAUAAACGUAAAAUUUUCCUUUCAACGGCACGAAUAAUCGAUGUAGAUAUGUAUAGAGAGAGAAAGAGGGGGAACGGGAGAGGGGGGGGGGGGGAGAGAGAGAGAGAGAGAGGGAGGGAGAGAUGUA